rnacentral:tRNA from 1 species
UCCGAAUUGGUGUAGUGGUCAACAUUUGACGCUCUCAACAACAUCCUUACCAUCCUUUGGAUACCGUGAAGUGCCGUCAAGCCCGGGGUUCGAUUCCCCGAUUCGGAG